rnacentral:rRNA from 1 species
GAUGAACGCUAGCUACAGGCUUAACACAUGCAAGUCGAGGGGAAACGGCAUUGAGUGCUUGCACUCUUUGGACGUCGACCGGCGUACGGGUGAGUAACGCGUAUCCAACCUUCCCAUUACUGUGGGAUAACCUGCCGAAAGGCAGACUAAUACCGCAUAGUCUUCGAUGACGGCAUCAGAUUUGAAGUAAAGAUUUAUCGGUAAUGGAUGGGGAUGCGUCUGAUUAGCUUGUUGGCGGGGUAACGGCCCACCAAGGCGACGAUCAGUAGGGGUUCUGAGAGGAAGGUCCCCCACAUUGGAACUGAGACACGGUCCAAACUCCUACGGGAGGCAGCAGUGAGGAAUAUUGGUCAAUGGACGGAAGUCUGAACCAGCCAAGUAGCGUGCAGGAUGACGGCCCUAUGGGUUGUAAACUGCUUUUGUAUGGGGAUAAAGUUAGGGACGUGUCCCUAUUUGCAGGUACCAUAUGAAUAAGGACCGGCUAAUUCCGUGCCAGCAGCCGCGGUAAUACGGAAGGUUCAGGCGUUAUCCGGAUUUAUUGGGUUUAAAGGGAGCGUAGGCUGGAGAUUAAGUGUGUUGUGAAAUGUAGACGCUCAACGUCUGACUUGCAGCGCAUACUGGUUUCCUUGAGUACGCACAACGUUGGCGGAAUUCGUCGUGUAGCGGUGAAAUGCUUAGAUAUGACGAAGAACUCCGAUUGCGAAGGCAGCUGACGGGAGCGCAACUGACGCUUAAGCUCGAAGGUGCGGGUAUCAAACAGG